rnacentral:tRNA from 1 species
GCGGCUGUGACCGAGUGGUUAAGGUGAUCGACUGAAAAUCGAUUGGGCUUUGCCCGCGCGGGUUCGAACCCCGCCAGCUGCG